rnacentral:rRNA from 1 species
GCGUACGCAACUUACCCCUUGCUGGAGAAUAGCCCCGGGAAACUGGGAUUAAUGCUCCAUGGUAUGGUGAAAUCGCAUGAUUUUAUCAUUAAAGGUUACGGCAAGGGAUAGGCGUGCGUCCCAUUAGCUUGUUGGUGAGGUAACGGCUCACCAAGGCAACGAUGGGUAGCUGGUCUGAGAGGAUGAUCAGCCACCCGGGCACUGAGACACGGGCCCGACUCCUACGGGAGGCAGCAGUAGGGAAUAUUGGACAAUGGACGAAAGUCUGAUCCAGCCAUCCCGCGUGCAGGACGAAUGCCCUAUGGGUUGUAAACUGCUUUUCUAAGGAAAGAAAUAUCUCAUUCAUGAGGUGCUGACGGUACCUUAGGAAUAAGCACCGGCUAACUCCGUGCCAGCAGCCGCGGUAAUACGGAGGGUGCAAGCGUUAUCCGGAUUCACUGGGUUUAAAGGGUGCGUAGGCGGUAUGAUAAGUCAGUGGUGAAAGCCCGGGGCUCAACUCCGGAACUGCCGUUGAUACUGUCAUACUUGAGUCCAGUUGAGGUGGGCGGAAUGAUACAUGUAGCGGUGAAAUGCUUAGAUAUGUAUCAGAACACCGACUGCGAAGGCAGCUCACUAAACUGGUACUGACGCUGAGGCACGAAAGCGUGGGUAGCGAACAGGAUUAGAUACCCUGGUAGUCCACGCCCUAAACGAUGCUAACUCGGUAUGUGCGAUAUACUGUACGUGCCUGAGGGAAACCGUUAAGUUAGCCACCUGGGGAGCACGUUCGCAAGAAUGAAACUCAAAGGAAUUGACGGGGGUCCGCACACAGCGGUGGAGCAAGUGGUUUAAUUCGAUGAUACGCGAGGAACCUUACCUCGGCUCUAAUAUACCACGCCCGACCCUGAAAGGGGUCUUCUCUCUUAGGAAGCGGGGUACAAGAUGCUGCAUGGUGGUCGUCAGCUCGUGCCGUGAGGUGAUGGGUUAAGUCCCCCAA